rnacentral:rRNA from 1 species
UGACCGCUGGCGGCGUGCCUAAUACAUGCACGUCGAGCGAACGGACGAGAAGCUUGCUUUUCUGAUGUUAGCGGCGGACGGGUGAGUAACACGUGGAUAACCUACCUAUAAGACUGGGAUAACUUCGGGAAACCGGAGCUAAUACCGGAUAAUAUUUUGAACCGCAUGGUUCAAAAGUGAAAGACGGUCUUGCUGUCACUUAUAGAUGGAUCCGCGCUGCAUUAGCUAGUUGGUAAGGUAACGGCUUACCAAGGCAACGAUGCAUAGCCGACCUGAGAGGGUGAUCGGCCACACUGGAACUGAGACACGGUCCAGACUCCUACGGGAGGCAGCAGUAGGGAAUCUUCCGCAAUGGGCGAAAGCCUGACGGAGCAACGCCGCGUGAGUGAUGAAGGUCUUCGGAUCGUAAAACUCUGUUAUUAGGGAAGAACAUAUGUGUAAGUAACUGUGCACAUCUUGACGGUACCUAAUCAGAAAGCCACGGCUAACUACGUG